GACGAACGCUGGCGGCGUGCUUAACACAUGCAAGUCGAACGGAAAGGCCCUGCCUUUGUGGGGUGCUCGAGUGGCGAACGGGUGAGUAACACGUGAGUAACCUGCCCUUGUCUUUGGGAUAACUUCAGGAAACUGGGGCUAAUACCGGAUAGGAGCUCCUGCUGCAUGGUGGGGGUUGGAAAGUUUCGGCGGUUGGGGAUGGACUCGCGGCUUAUCAGCUUGUUGGUGGGGUAGUGGCUUACCAAGGCUUUGACGGGUAGCCGGCCUGAGAGGGUGACCGGCCACAUUGGGACGGAAAUGCGACCCGGACUCCUACGGGGGGCAGCGGUGGGGAAUGGUGCACAAUGGGCGGAAGCCUAAUGCAGCAACGCCGCGCGCGGGAUGACGGCCUUCGGGUUGUAAUCCGCAUUCGCCUGUGACGAAGCGUGAGUGACGGUAAUGGGUAAAGAAGCACCGGCUAACUACGUG
rnacentral:rRNA from 1 species